rnacentral:rRNA from 1 species
GAUGAACGCUGGCGGCGUGCCUAAUACAUGCAAGUCGAGCGAACAGACGAGGAGCUUGCUCCUCUGACGUUAGCGGCGGACGGGUGAGUAACACGUGGAUAACCUACCUAUAAGACUGGGAUAAUUUCGGGAAACCGGAGCUAAUACCGGAUAAUAUAUUGAACCGCAUGGUUCAAUAGUGAAAGACGGUUUUGCUGUCACUUAUAGAUGGAUCCGCGCCGCAUUAGCUAGUUGGUAAGGUAACGGCUUACCAAGGCAACGAUGCGUAGCCGACCGGAGAGGGUGAUCGGCCACACUGGAACGGCGACGGGGUCCAGACGCCUACGGGAGGCAGCAGUAGGGAAUCUUCCGCAAUAGGCGAAAGCUUGACGGAGCAACGCCGCGUGAGUGAUGAAGGUCUUCGGAUCGUAAAACUCUGUUGUUAGGGAAGAACAAAUGUGUAAGUAACUAUGCACGUCUUGACGGUACCGGAUCAGAAAGCCACGGCUAACUACGUG